rnacentral:lncRNA from 1 species
GUGAUUCAAGACAGUUUAGAAGAUGUGAGCCUUAGGAAUAUAUUGUAAUAAUGGUACUUGUUCUUCCCUUUAGACUUCAUUGGAGGAUUUUAACCUAUUUUUUUAAUGUUUUAAUCUAAACAACAGCUCCCAAGAGGGCUGGUGGCCUGCCGUCAGUUUGUCAUAGGACUACCUGGGGUCUGAUCGUUUGCCUGGAGUCAUCAUUUCAAACAUUUUAAUGUUCUCAGUGCUCUGCAGUGUCGCUGUUUUGAAAACCUCUUCUGUUUUUACUAAAUCUUUCCUCUGAAUGUUUGCUCUAAAGAUACUGGAAAUACUUUUCUCUUGUUCUCCUUCACUUUAAAGUUCACAGGGACCUUAUUCAACUCUUCUCAUGGUGGGGGGCAGCGGGGGCAUGGGGCACUUUCUAUAUCUUUGUGAACUUUUCUGAAAUAACCAUUUUUGAAAUGACACUUCCCAAAGCUCAGUUUUCCCAAUUUUGUUUAAUUCCAUGUUAUACAAAAUUUCAGAGUGAUCAGUUGACAGUUCUCAUUAAUCAAAAUUUCAGUACUUAUCUAAUAUAAGUUCAAAACAUACAUCUGUUUUUAAUUUCUGUGUCCUGAAUAUUUACAGCAAAAGCAAAACAAAUAAACUGUGUGUGUGACAGAAUGCUAAAACAAAAGCAGCCUGUUUUCUUGAAAACCGUAGGUUAUGGGUAUAGACAUUGCUAAUUCACUGGGCUUUUUUGACUAGAUAUUGACCAUCAAAGCGAAAAUGGCUUAUCACACCAAUGGGCAUGAUGUGCCUUCUUGCCUAAGACAGAAGCAUCAGACUCUCCAGGAAUAUCGGUGUUUUUCAUAUCUUUUAAUCUAUGUUUCCAUAGCCUUCUCUGUUCCUAUAGAACAGAUACAGUUCCAUGAAACAAGUUUUUCUCAAUAGCA